UUCGAAGGAUCCAUCUCAGCCUCCUGAGUAGCUGGAACUACAGGUGUACACCACCUUGCCUGGCUAGUUAUUUUUUAUUUUGUGUAGAGACUGGGUCUUGCUUUGUUGUCCAGGCUGGUCUUAAACUCCUGGGCUCAAGUGAUCCUCUCAGCUCAGCCUCCUGAAGUGCUGAGAUUAUAGGAGUGAGCCACUGCACCCGGCCAGAAAUAAAGUUUUGAACUGAGUUUGGAAAGGGGGGAAAAGCCUGAAUUGGCCAAGAAGGCAAAGGCUAAAAAUCAGGAAGAUGGAAGUAUCUGGGAGACACCUAUGGAUAAUUGGUUUUUGAAUAAAGGUGGUGAUUUAUUCAGAGGAAAAUCCAAUUAGCUAACCAAAUCUGUUUUCAUAUUUACUUAGAAUAUAUCCCCUUCAUCACAUGACUUGUAGCGACCUAGAGGAUGAUGACCUAAUCUACCACAGGGGUCUUUCAACAUGUGGAGUGUUCCAUGCUUGGAGAAGGUUGAUUUGCUUGCAUGGACUGUCCUGUGCCUGUGCUCCAUGGCCGUGGGAAAGAGGAUGAGGCCUCGCCACUCCGCGGAGGGCCCCCUGGCCCGCCCCAAUGCUGAAGACAAAUCUGGCCCCAUCUUCCCACUGGGAACUUGGCCAACCCAGAUGUUCCCGCAGCCCCUCCCUCCACCCCUCGCUCCCUGGACGGGGCCCAUCUCCAGCGCAUUUUUCUCACUCCAAGCUCCUUCCUUGCCAGAUGGCUCUGCCCGAGGAUUCUGCCCCAGGCUGGGAGGGGCUGGGGACCUGAUUUUCUCAUUUCCCUGUGGUUUGGCAUUCCCGAGUCUUCCCUCGCCCCUGUCGUUUUCAGAGCGAGCCCCACCCUUGUCUGCAGACUCUGGCUCCCUGGACAGGCAAAGGGAAAUGCCUGGGUCACCCGGAUGCCUCUGAGCCCGGUGACAGGAGCUAAGGAUGGCAAAUACAGACCGAGGGGCCACCCUGCCACUGCCUGACCUUCCAGGGAGCUUGGGCGCCGUCCCACUUCUGAAACUCCUGGCAGUUGCCCAAUAAAUGGCUGUGCUGGAGAGUGCGGAGCCGAAGUCAACCAGCCUUAUCCCUUCAGGAGACCUGAAUUUAUAAAUGGUGGUCAGGAUGAAGCCAAACAGGAUUCCUCCCCCAGGUCACGUUUGUGACAUCUGAAGAGAUGUAUUGGUUUGUCUUUGGUCAUUGUCACCACAUUGGAUGCAGGAGGAAUAAAGGAUAGGGCGGUUGUUAAUACAUACCCCACAUUUAACCAAGAAAAGCCCCAGAGGAAGGUACUGCUUCAUAAAACCAAUGUCCCUUGAGCAUGUCCCUUAAUAUGCCACAGACACUAUGCCAAGCCCAUCACAGGCAUUGUCUCCUGUCCUCACCCCACCCUAUGGGUAGGGCCUGUUAGCCCCAUUUUACAGAGAAGGAGGAGCACUCCCAGAGUCACUGCCUGCAGGGAAGUGGGAGAGGCUGCGCCCCCAGCACUGUCAAGGACGGGGCACUGGACCCCAUUUCUGUUGAACCGAAUCUUCGUCUGAGUGGGCCUUGGUAGCGCAGUCUCACAACCUCUCUCAACUUUCUCACUAAAGCUGCUCAAGCAACAGAGGACAGAGACCCUGAGGGAUGUGGACACAGUUCAAGGUGGCAGCCUUAGGUGGAGAGUUCUCUGGAGUUUUACCAAAACCAAAAGUUUUAUUUCAUAAUGUAUGCUUUUUGUUGUCUUACUGGGUAAAAUACAACAUAAAAUGUACCAUCCUAACCAUUUUUGAGUGUGCAUUUGGUGACAUUAAGUUCCUUCGCAGUGCUGUGUAGCUAUCACACGCCCAUCUCCAGAGCUCCUUCCUCACCACAAAACAACUCCCUGCUCCCCGCCCCAGCCUCCAGCACCCCCAUUCCAGCUCUGUCUCUGUGAAUUUGACUACUCCAAGAACCUCACAGGAGUGGAAUGACCCGCUAUUCAUUCUUCUGUGACUGGCUUAUUUCACUUAGCGUGAAGUCCUUGAGGUUCACGCAUGUUGUUGUAGACGUGUUUU